UCAAUAAAAUUGGCUAUUGGGCUA
rnacentral:snRNA from 1 species